CAGGCCUAAUACAUGCAAGUCGAAGGGUGUCUUCGGACAUAGUGGCGCACGGGUGCGUAACACGUAUGCAACCUACCUUACAUUGGGGGAUAGCCUUUCGAAAGGGAGAUUAAUACCGCAUAAGACAGUAGCUGGGCAUCCAGCAGCUGUUAAAGAUUUAUCGAUGUAAGAUGGGCAUGCGUCCAAUUAGUUAGUUGGCGAGGUAACGGCUCACCAAGACUUUGAUUGGUAGGGGAACUGAGAGGUCAAUCCCCCACACUGGCACUGAGAUACGGGCCAGACUCCUACGGGAGGCAGCAGUAGGGAAUAUUGGGCAAUGGACGCAAGUCUGACCCAGCCAUGCCGCGUGCAGGAUGAAGGCGUUAUGCGUUGUAAACUGCUUUUAUACAGGAAGAAACGACUCUUGCGAGAGGCAUUGACGGUACUGUAUGAAUAAGCACCGGCUAACUCCGUGCCAGCAGCCGCGGUAAUACGGAGGGUGCAAGCGUUGUCCGGAUUUAUUGGGUUUAAAGGGUGCGCAGGUGGUUUAUUAAGUCAGUGGUGAAAGACGGUCGCUCAACGAUUGCAGUGCCAUUGAAACUGGUAGACUUGAGUAAAGUAGAGGUGGGCGGAAUUGAUAGUAUAGCGGUGAAAUGCAUAGAUAUUAUCAAGAACUCCAAUUGCGUAGGCAGCUCACUUGGCUUUUACUGACACUCAUGCACGAAAGUGUGGGUAUCAAACAGGAUUAGAUACCCUGGUAGUCCACACUGUAAACGAUGAUAACUAGGUGUCGGCCGAAUCUGGUCGGUGCCACAGCGAAAGCGUUAAG
rnacentral:rRNA from 1 species